GAGGUUAUAGGUAAGAAUUUAAAUAUGAAUUUGGCAAAAACAUUUUGGGAUAUAUAUCAAAUUUCAGUUUUGUUAAUUUGCCUUGUAGUUGAGUUGAUAACCUAAUUGGGUUGUUGGUCCAGUCAAGCUCCAUUUAUUUGUGUUUGUUAGCAUGAUUAAUCAUCCUUCAAAGUAAUAAUGAAUGAUAAUGAAUGAGUCAACUAAUUAUUUGCUAGUGCUAUGUUUCUCGAUCUAGGUCAAGGCUAAUCCUCAAGUUACAUAUAGUAGAUGUACAAACAAGUAUUGAGCAAGGAUAUGGAUUGGCUCAAUAUAAACACAUCCUUUACAUGAUAAACAUGAUGGGAUUGCAAGAGCAAUCAUCUGAAUUAACAUGCAGUGUUCAUUAGUAAAUCCUUUCUCACCGCUUCACCAGAGCAUGGAAGGUUGAGCUCAAUGGAGUAUUAGGAGAUAGAAAGUGAAGGGCAGAAAGACAUAGGAUGACUUGGGUUUAAGUCAUGAGAAAGUACUUAGCAGCUCCAGAUUUUUCUUAGGAUGUAGUCCUAAACCUAGUGGAAUGAAGGAAACAAAUCCAUAUGGCCAAUCCAACUACUUUGGAUGCAAACUUAGUUGAGACUAGUUGUUCUUGUUUCACUAGUUAACAUUGUAAGAAUUGUAAUAAAGAAUGUAGAACGUUUGACUCCUCCACUUGUUUCACUAGUUAGCACUGUAAGUUUGUAAGAAUUGUGUAAAUAAGCUACAUUGACAAAUAUUUGUCCCUGAAUUCAGAUAAGAAUUAUCUGCACUGCUUGGGGUUCUUGUGAUUACCAUUUUCAAUAGGCUCCCAAAUAAUUUUAUGUGCAAUUCUUUUCCCUUGCUUAUUUAAACAGGAAAUUGCUAGUAAGUGGGAAAAAUGAAGAAAAAGGAAUCAUCUGUCAAUUUGAAAAUUUUGAGUAUUCUAAUCUUGAGUUUUGAUGGUUAUGAUUGCUUAUGCCUGGAACUUUCAGAUUAUGUGGUGGCUGCAACCGUGACAUUGGUUAUGGCAAGUAUUUGAGAUGCAGGGGAUUUUUUUUUCAUCCGGAGCGAUUUCUUUGUUCUUCUUGUGGUUACCCAAUUACUGAGAAUGAGGUCCACAAGUGUCCUAAUUUCAAUUUUGUUUUACCAUAUUUGUCACUACAUCAACCGAGUAAAUGUUUGAAAAUUGCACAUCAAAGUAAGCAAAUCCAAUAAUGAAAUUUAAACUUUUGUUUCAUCUAGCUCUUAACUCAAUUUUCUUUUUCUGUUGAUCCAAGUUUUCUUUGUCAGGUAGCAAUCCAUAUCACAAGUCUUGUUUCAAAGCGUUGACUCAUCCCAAAUGUGAAGUCUGCCUUCAAUAUAAAUACUGCCCAUCACAUGAACAUGAUAACACAGCUCGAUGCUGCAGUUGUGAACGCUUGGAGGUAUUUACCUAAGCUAGCGCAAAAAAUUGUAUGGUCCAAUAGUCAUCACUUUGUCAGGAAGAAAUACAAUGGGUAAUGGUUAUUGUUAUUUUCUUUGUCUUUUCCAUUUAAUGCAUCUUGAAGUCUUAGAAUGCAAGAUACUAUACUUUGGAAGACAGACGAAGCUUAUGCUUAGAAUGCAUGGAAUCUGCUAUUAUGGACACUGGUGAUUGCCAACCCCUUUACCAUGCCAUCAGGGACUACUAUGAAGGGAUGAAUGUGAAAUUGGAUCAGCAGAUUCCUAUGCUUCUGGUUGAAAGACAAGCACUCAAUGAAGCUAGAGUUGGGGAGAAAAAUGGUUAUCAUCACAUGCCUGAGACAAGGGGUCUAUGCCUUUCAGAAGAGCUGACUGUUACCAGUAUACAGAAGAGGCCAAGAAUUGGUGGUAACCGACUAGUUGGAAUUAGUACUCAACCACGAAAGCUGACUCGGAAAAGUUGAGAGGUUACAGCCAUUCUUGUACUUUAUGGUCUUCCAAGGUAAUAGUUAGUGGCAGUUUUCAGUUCUCUAUAUCAAUUUAUCAUCUAAUGAUUGGAGUCAUGCAUCUAGCUUUGCCAAAACUUCAAUGAAAUGUCAUGGGUUCCUUGCUAACAAAAUUGUCUUUUUGCUGCUAAGAUAUCGAUCUCUAAUUAGAUUGACAUAAACAAAAUAUCAACUGAAUCUAUAGCAUGUUUCACUUUCACUCGUGUUUCUUUUUUCAGAAAAUUCCAUUUAUUGAUAUCCAUGUUGGAGGCAGACUCAUAAUUUGAUUUGUCUUUUUGCUGCUAGGACAUCGAUCUCUAACAUGUUGAGCUUUGUUUAUGUUUCUUUUAUUGGAAAUCCCAUUUAUUUAUUUAUUUCCUUGAUGGAUGCAGACUACUAACAGGAGCUAUUCUUGCCCAUGAGUUGAUGCAUGGCUGGUUACGCCUUAAAGGUGGAAAAAAAUGCACACCUGAAAAUGUUCUACUCGGAAUCUUUUUAUUAUUCACUUUUAUUUUUUAUAAUGCAGGUUACCGUAAUCUUAAUCCUGAGGUAGAGGAAGGAAUCUGUCAAUUACUCUCACAUAUGUGGCUUGAAUCAGAAGUAUUACCAUCUAAAGGCAUGCCAUCUACGUCAGCAGCUUCCUCUUCAUCAUCUUCUUCAAAAAAGGGAGGGAAGUCCAAUGUUGAAAAUAAAUUGGGUGAGUUUUUCAUGCAUCAAAUUGCCAAUGAUGCUUCACCAGCUUAUGGGGGAGGAUUCAGGGCUGCUAAUGCUGCUGUCAAUAAGUAUGGUUUAAGUCGCACUUUGAAUCAUAUCCGGCUUACUGGGCAUUUCCCAUUGUAAUACAAGCAAAGAUUACAUGUUGCUUCAUCUCUUCUUUGAUCUGAUUUGAUAUAUUAUUUUGCUCCUUGAAAGGAUUGAGCUCAUUGCAGAAGUUUGGACAGCUCUCACUUUAAAUUUUCUUCAGGGUCUUAUAAUGUCCAGCAAUCACUCUUCAAGAUUAAUGAUAUGCAUCUACUAUGUCCUAUUAUUAUUAUUAUUUAAUCAUUGGGAGAAAUUCUUUUAGUUCAAUUCUGUUUUAGCUGCAAAUGUCAUGUUCUAGGCCUACACACCUGUUAAUUAUUCAUUGGAAACAAAGCAGGAAUAGCAAGGAACCUAACUGUCACGUGGUAGAGAAAUUGCGAAACAAGCAAUUAAGUGAUUUAAAAAUGUAUUGCCAAACUGAUUAUGAACCAUAUGAUUUCAUUUUUAUUCUUAUUCUAUAUUUUUCAAGUUUUUCAUAUUUGAGUAAUAGUGGUCUUCAAGAUAUAUAUAGUUGCAUUCAGUCAGAUUACUUAUUAUGACUCUUACUCCUGCUUCUCUGUGCCUCUGCUAGGCAACUGCCAAGAUAAUAUUUAGUGAUUGUUUACAGCAAAGAAAAGAAACAGACUUGACAGUAUUUAAUGUAAAGAAGAAGAGUCUGCAACUGAGAUAGAAGUAGAAGCAACAGUUGAAGAUCUGAAGCCAGCUUGUGAUGGAUAUAAUUUUUCAUUGCUGUGAUUGUAAAACUACUGAUGUCAUCUACCUACUCUGAGAGACA
rnacentral:misc_RNA from 1 species